AAGGCUUACUGCCUCUUUCUUUUUGUUUCUUUCCGCCACAGGGUACACAUUUCAUCCAGUUGUGUUGCCAGAGGAAUAUUCCCAUUGUGUUUUUGCAGAACAUUACAGGUUUCAUGGUUGGUAGAGAAUAUGAAGCAGGAGGGAUAGCAAAAGAUGGUGCAAAGAUGGUAACAGCAGUUGCUUGUGCCAGUGUACCUAAAAUAACAGUCAUUAUUGGUGGCUCUUACGGUGCUGGAAACUAUGGGAUGUGUGGAAGAGCAUACAGGUAAGCAUUACUUCAAAUUACAGCAGAAAUAAGUUACAAUACUGUGAUAAAGUGCUGUUCUGAAAAGCUGCUGUAAUUCUUGCAGAAGCCAGAAAACAAAGCCAUUUUCCAGUGAAUGUGGUCAUGAGUAAAUAACAACCAUACAAAACUGUAAAGGUGGAUAGACUCAAGAUUUACAUAAACUAUGUAGCAGAAUAUUUUCCAGCAUAUGAGCAUGCUGACGUGCUUUUCUGCCAUUAUAGUUUGAGGGGGGAGGAAGUUGACAGUCCUAAACAAUUUCUAGUUAGUGUGGGCUGGUCCUUUAUUGCGCAUACACAUGAAGAGAACUAGCUUGAAUUAAAA